rnacentral:lncRNA from 1 species
AUGGAGUUUAUAUCCAAAUUGGUAUCAUACUGCAAUAAGAAGAAUGGAGAAGCAGAGGAGCAAAGGAGGAACCAACAUAAAGGUUAUUCCUCUUCACUCCUGAUACUCUCUACAUUGGGAUAUCAAGGUCUCAGUCUUCUCAUAUGAAACAAAACAGGAAGAACAGAAGGUAGAAAUCUGGAGCCUCAUCCCUUGCCACCUUCUUUCAAGGUAUAUGAGAGAAUUUAUUUUCAGUAUAUUGACUUAUAUCUAUAUGUAGGCUUUGAAUCAGAUGUUCAAACCAGUUCUUUGACUUUUGUUCGUAUUCCUUUGUUCUUAGGAACUCCAUGUAAUGUUCUCCCCUACUUGCACCCUGCUACCCCAGAGCCUGGUAAAUAAAAUAGAAAGGAGAGAUAAUGAAACUUAUUUU